CAGCAGCCGCGGUAAUACCGGCGGCCCGAGUGGCGGUCACUAUUAUUGGGCUUAAAGCGUCCGUAGCCGGGUUGGGAAGUCCUCCGGGAAAUCUGGCCGCUUAACGGUCAGAAUGCCGGAGGAUACUCCCAGCCUAGGGAGCGGGAGAGGCCGAGGGGAUUCCCGGAGGAGGGGGGAAAUCCUAUAAUCCCGGGAGGACCCCCUGUGGCGAAGGCGCUCGGCUGGAACGCGUCCGACGGUGAGGGACGAAGGCCAGGGGAGCAAACCGGAUUAGAUACCCGGGUAGUCCUGGCUGUAAACGAUGCGGACUUUGUGUCGGACAAGCUAUGAGCUUGUCCGGUGCCGGAGGGAAACCGUUAAGUCCGCCGCCUGGGGAGUACGGCCGCAAGGCUGAAACUUAAAGGAAUUGGCGGG
rnacentral:rRNA from 1 species